rnacentral:rRNA from 1 species
GGAGUUAGCCGAUGCUUAUUCUUCAGGUACACGUCAUUUAUUCCUCCCUGAAAAAAGAGGUUUACAACCCAUAGGCAGUCUUCCCUCACGCUGUAUUGCUCCGUCAGGCUUUCGCCCAUUGCGGAAAAUUCCC